rnacentral:piRNA from 1 species
UUCCAUCCUAUUGGUGUUGUGAGGUUAGGUA